UACGGAGGGUGCGAGCGUUGUCCGGAAUCAUUGGGCGUAAAGGGCGCGUAGGUGGCCCGGUCAGUCUUUGGUGAAAGCGCGGGGCUCAACCCUGCGUCGGCCAGGGAUACUGCCGCGGCUGGAGCACUGUAGAGGCAGGCGGAAUUCCGGGUGUAGCGGUGGAAUGCGUAGAGAUCCGGAAGAACACCGGUGGCGAAGGCGGCCUGCUGGGCAGUUUGCUGACACUGAGGCGCGACAGCGUGGGGAGCAAACAGG
rnacentral:rRNA from 1 species